UUACCAAGGCGAUGAUGCAUAGCCCGAGUUGAGAGACUGAUCGGGCCACAUUGGGACUGAGACACGGGCCCAAACUCCUACGGGAGGGCAGCAGUAGGGGGAAUCUUCCACAAUGGACGAAAAGUCUGAUGGAGCAAACGCCGCGUGAGUGAAGAAGGUUUUCGGAUCGUAAAAAAGCUCUGUUGUUGGUGAAGAAGGAUAGAGGUAGUAACUGGCCCUUUAUUUGACGGUAAUCAACCCAGAAAGUCACGGGCUAACUACGUGCCCAGCAGCCGUGGUAAAU
rnacentral:rRNA from 1 species